rnacentral:lncRNA from 1 species
GGCCAAGCUGGGGCCAGUUGUACUGUUAGAGGGACCAGUUACAUUAGACGUUAUUGUUCUUCACUGCAUUGUAGGCAUUAGCAGGCAAAAUACCAUGUUCAUAAUCAUCAUCGUUGCCACUGUCUAAUAACGGAUGUAAAAAAGAACGAUAGCAAAAAUUAGUUAUGUUAAAAUUAUUGUGGCCCCCCCUCCCCCCCUGCGUGACCUGAGCGCGUCUGGUGUGGGUGGACAAAAAAGCACGAGUGCGGAUCGGGUACUGGCUAGAGGCGGAGAGGGUAGUAAGUAGGGCUGCACGCACCAGUAGAUAACAGUAGCCAGAAAAUACUGGGCCGGUACCAAAGGAUACAACCGCCAGGUUGGAUUCGAAUAAAAGUUGCAAUGAAGGACAUGUGUUUCCGGUGUAAUGACACAAAGUGCCCAGAGGUGACGAAAUGUUUUGAUCAUAAUGAUGACCUGAACCAGAAUCUGCUGAUGGUGCCAGGUCCUUUCCAGCAAUGCACAUCCACCCCCUAUCCUCCUUCUGGGAGGUGCACCAUGUGUAGUCUGGAUUAUUAUUACACUGUGUGCAGAAACGUCUCAGAGAGCUUCCAGCCUGCCCUGGAGGCCAACAGCACAGCCAUUACCAACUAUGAACAAGCCAAUUGCCUUGUCAUCGGCAUCGCACCAACUACUGUGAAUGCACUCAGGACUACCCAUCCCUUAACCAAGCUAUUUGGACCCAACCCCCAGAGAAAGUGACAGGGACAGCACUCAGGACUACCCAAACCCCCAGAUCAGGAUGCUGCUGCGUUAUCUCUGCCUUAAUUCCAUCACUUUAACUCUUCUUCUUAAAGUUGUAAUCUUUUAAUACGUUUUCAUAUUCAUAUUCUUGUAAAUCAGUACCGUUAAACCAGUGCCUUGGAUAAUUUUUGGUCCUCUAAUACUGACACCAGCCGGCUAAAGCCUACUCUUAUUCUUAGGAAUAAGUAUGGAAAUACAAAUGUUUUACCCAUGACGCAUCUACCAGGGUAUUUUGAAUGGGGCAAAAAAGGAAAAUAUGUCCAGUUAUUAAUCAAGCAGAGAUAAGCUUAUUCAAAAGUUGAUGCACUUUAACCCACCAAUGAAUUAUAAUUUACACAUGUUCUAUAACACCCAUUCCACCUUUGAAACUUCAUAUGAGUCUGGUCUGCACAUGGCUGAGGGAGGAAUGUAGUGAUUUAUAAUACAAGUUAUUACCAUCAAGAUGAUGGUACAGGACCCCACUACUGAAAAUCAACCUGGGUUCAUAAAUGAUUUGUGCCAUCCAUCUCCCUAAUGAAAAGGAUUUAUCCUAGCCUUCACCACCACUGUACUGUAUGUAAAAGCAUUAUGUUGUACUGUGCUAUUUGUCUAUGUCAGUACUGUAUUUCUAAUGCUAGUGUUUGUGAAAUGCAGUAAGUCUAUUUACAAGUAUAUUUAUGCUGUAAAGCAGGGUUUCCCAAAGUCAUUUAAAUUGGUUAUUUGAAUCAGCUGUGUAGUGCUAGGGCAAAAAAGAUAUAUGGACCCAGGGUGGGCCCCACAACUGAGUUUGGGAAACCCUGCUGUACAUUAUGAGGCUGUAAUACUCUAUUCUAUACCAGUACUCAAGUGUUGGAGAAAAGCAUCAUGAAAUAUUUACUUCUCUUUCUCAAAUAAAUCUUUAUAUAAAUGAA